GGUGGUGUAGUUCAGUGGUACACCACUUGUCUAUCAUGUAUGAAGCCCUGGGUUUGAUCCCCAAGCACCAAAA
rnacentral:tRNA from 1 species